rnacentral:rRNA from 1 species
AGAGUUUGAUCAUGGCUCAGGACGAACGCUGGCGGCGUGCUUAACACAUGCAAGUCAAGGACCGUAGCAAUACGGGACUGGCGCACGGGUGCGGAACACGUAGGCAAUCUGCCCUUCAAGGGAGAACAACCAGCCGAAAGGUUGGCUAAAUCUCCGUAAAAUCAUAGAGUGGCAUCACUUAUUGAUCAAGUUUUUUGAAGGAUGAGCCUGCGUCUGAUUAGCUAGUUGGCGGGGUAACGGCCCACCAAGGCUACGAUCAGUAGCUGGUCUGAGAGGAUGAUCAGCCACAUUGGGACUGAGAUACGGCCCAGACUCCUACGGGAGGCAGCAGUGAGGAAUAUUGCUCAAUGGGGGAAACCCUGAAGCAGCAACGCCGCGUAAAGGAUGAAGGCGCUUUGCGUUGUAAACUUUUGUAGUCGGGGACAAAUUGUGGGUUACUACCCACUUGAUGGUACCCGAAAAGUAAGGAUCGGCUAACUACGUGCCAGCAGCCGCGGUAAUACGUAGGAUCCGAGCGUUGUCCGGAUUUACUGGGUGUAAAGGGUGCGCAGGCGGACUGGUAAGUCAGAGGUGAAAUCUCGUCGCUUAACGACGAAACUGCCUUUGAUACUAUCAGUCUUGAAUCCGGUAGAGAUCUGUGGAAUUCCGAGUGUAGCAGUGAAAUGUGUAGAUAUUCGGAAGAACACCAGUGGCGAAGGCAGCAGAUUGGGCCGGUAUUGACGCUCAGGCACGAAAGCAUGGGGAUCAAACAGGAUUAGAUACCCUAGUAGUCC